rnacentral:lncRNA from 1 species
UUCUCAGUGUGGUCUCCAUGUAACGGGGAGGCCUGUCUACUCCAGUCCUUUGGGAAAGAGCUCCUCUCUAGACUCCCCACAGCAGUCUGGCCCUUCCCUCCCCCUCAAGUCUCUGCUUCCACUUGGAGACUGACUAGGUGUUCCCUUUCCACAGUCCAGCCUGGACAUGUUUCUUGGAGGUGAGAGCAGUCCAGAACCACUGGACAACAUCUUGAUGGCUGCCUUUGAAUUCGACAUUCACCAAGUGAUCAAGGAGUGCAGGUAGGACACGCCUAAUUAUAACUUCUUUUUGACGUGGUCUCUCUAUGUACCUCUGACUGUCCUGGAACUCUCUGUGUAGUUCAGGCUGACCUCCAAUUCUGCUUGCUUCUUUCUGCCUCCUGUGUUGGGAGUAAAGGCAUGCACACCACACUGGCUCCUUUGCACUGUUUUCAGGGGUCUGGUUGAGCCAUUGAACACAGCAGCCUUCCACUCCCUUCCUUCUGCAUGGGGCGUGCUAUGCUCUUCUUACACCUUCUUCCUGGUUUCUAUUAAUUGUUGUGUGCAGGGCUGGUUUACACUGGUGUGUGUGUGUGUGUGUGUGUGUGCGUGCGUGCGUGUGUGCGUGCGCGCGUGUGUGCGUGCGUGUGGUGGUGGGGGCUGUGUGUACGCCCUGCCCUGUGUCUGUGCGGGUUACCGUGCCUUGUGAAAGCCUC